UACGGGGGGGGCAAGCGUUGUUCGGAUUUACUGGGCGUAAAGGGCGUGCAGGCGGUUUGUUAAGUGCAGGGUGAAAGCUCCCGGCUCAACUGGGAGAGGUCCUUGCAUACUGGCAAACUCGAGGGAGGCAGAGGAAAGUGGAAUUCCCGGUGUAGUGGUGAUAUGCGUAGAUAUCGGGAGGAACACCUGUGGCGAAGGCGGCUUUCUGGGCCUUACCUGACGCUGAGACGCGAAAGCGUGGGGAGCGAACCGG
rnacentral:rRNA from 1 species